UAGAUAGAUGAUAGGUACAUAGA
rnacentral:piRNA from 1 species